GGAGGUGAUCCCCAUUCCGAUUUCUCAGAAAGCAUUAAAGAGAUUUUAAAAUGCUCCAAGAAUUCCAAUGGUCUUCUUGCUUGUAAUGAAAUUCCUGGUUGGAUUAGAUGUCAAAAAGAAAAAUCGUCAAUAUCAUUUCAAUGUCCAUCAUCCAAUUUGAAGAAUAAUACAUUGGAAUUUUAUGGAUUUGUUUUUUUGGUUGUGUU